rnacentral:rRNA from 1 species
UGAAUACGAGAUGCUACGGCGUCGAAGCAGUCUAUGUCAUACUUCCAAGAAAAGCUUGCACUGUCAUAAACAAAUAAUGCCUGUACCAUAACCGACACAGGUGGGUAGGUAGAGUAUACUAAGGGGCGCGAGAUAACUCUCUCUAAGGAACUCGGCAAAAUGACUCCGUAACUUCGGGAGAAGGAGUGCCUUAUUUUAUAAGGUUGCAAUAACAAGAUCCAAGCAACUGUUUACCAAAAACACAGGUCUCCGCUAAGUCGUAAGACGAUGUAUGGGGGCUGACGCCUGCCCAGUGCCAGAAGGUUAAAGAAGUUGGUUAGCAUCCGCGAAGCUGAUAACUGAAGCCCUGGUGAACGGCGGCCGUAACAAUAACGGUCCUAAGGUAGCGAAAUUCCUUGUCGGGUAAGUUCCGACCCGCACGAAAGGCGUAAUGAUUUGGAUACUGUCUCAGAGAGGGGCUCGGUGAAAUAGACUUGUCUGUGAAGAUGCGGACUACCUGCACCAGGACAGAAAGACCCUAUGAAGCUUUACUGUAACUUGAAAUUGAAAUUGGACUUUACUUGCGCAGUAUAGGUGGGAGGCGUUGAGAAUAUUCUUGCGGGAAUGUUGGAGCCAUCAGUGAGAUACCACUCUUGUAAUGUUAGAUUUCUAACUUUGUAUCAUUAUCUGGUCAAAGGACAGUUUCAGGCGGGCAGUUUGACUGGGGCGGUCGCCUCCCAAACGGUAACGGAGGCGCACAAAGGUUUCCUCUGAACGGGUAGAAAUCGUAUCUAGAGUGUAAAGGCAUAAGGAAGCUUGACUGUGAGACCUACAAGUCGAGCAGGGACGAAAGUCGGUCUUAGUGAUCUGACGGUGCUGAGUGGAAAGGCCGUCACUCAACGGAUAAAAGUUACUCUAGGAUAACAGGCUGAUCUCCCCCAAGAGUUCACAUCGACGGGGAGGUUUGGCACCUCGAUGUCGGCUCAUCGCAUCCUGGGGCGGUAGUACGUCCCAAGGGUUGGGCUGUUCGCCCAUGAAAGCGGUACGCGAGCUGGGUUCAGAACGUCGUGAGACAGUUCGGUCCAUAUCCGGUGUAGGCGUUAGAAUACUGAGAGGAGCCUUCUUUAGUACGAGAGGACCGAGAAGGACAUACCUCUGGUGUACCAGUUAUCGUGCCAACGGUAAACGCUGGGUAGCUAUGUAUGGAGUGGAUAACCGCUGAAAGCAUCUAAGUGGGAAGCCCACCUCAAGAUAAGUAUUCUC